GUUUGUUCAUUAUCUGGUCACACCCUCACUUUCAGCCCUUUAUCAUCUCUGUUUUCAUUCCCACUGUCUAAGCUAAACUUCAUUCCACUCGGCUUUUAUCUUAAUCUGAUUAUAUUUUAGCUAAGCUCCCUUCACUUCCCGACGAACAUCAGCUCUCAGGCUAAUCAGUCCACUGUCUUAUCUCUAUUUGCCACCCCGUAGCUAUUUCAGUAGAUUUGGCUCCUCACAGGUAAGAGC
rnacentral:misc_RNA from 1 species